AUUGGGAGGUACUCAUAAGACGGUCCCUCUCGUUAACCAAAGCUCUACAUCAUUGGGAGGUACUCAUAAGACGGUCCCUCUCGUUAACCAAAGCUCUACAUCAUUGGGAGGUACUCAUAAGACGGUCCCUCUCGUUAACCAAAGCUCUACAUCAUUGGGAGGUACUCAUAAGACGGUCCCUCUCGUUAACCAAAGCUCUACAUCAUUGGGAGGUACUCAUAAGACGGUCCCUCUCGUUAACCAAAGCUCUACAUCAUUGGGAGGUACUCAUAAGACGGUCCCUCUCGUUAACCAAAGCUCUACAUCAUUGGGAGGUACUCAUAAGACGGUCCCUCUCCUUAACCAAAGCUCUACAUCACUGGGAGGUACUCAUAAGACGGUCCCUCUGGUUAACCAAAGCUCUACAUCAUUGGGAGGUACUCAUAAGACGGUCCCUCUGGUUAACCAAAGCUCUACAUCAUUGGGAGGUACUCAUAAGACGGUCCCUCUGGUUAACAAAAGCUCUACAUCAUUGGGAGGUACUCAUAAGACGGUCCCUCUGGUUAACCAAAGCUCUACAUCAUUGGGAGGUACUCAUAAGACGGUCCCUCUCCUUAACCAAAGCUCUACAUCAUUGGGAGGUACUCAUAAGACGGUCCCUCUGGUUAACCAAAGCUCUACAUCAUUGGGAGGUACUCAUAAGACGGUCCCUCUGGUUAACCAAAGCUCUACAUCAUUGGGAGGUACUCA